rfam:B.brevis ribonuclease P RNA gene.
AUGCAGGAAAUGCGGGUAGCCGCUGCCGCAAUCGUCUCGGCGAUUGGCGGUAGAGGAAAGUCCAGGCUCGCCCAAGCUGAGAUGCUUGGAGUGUUCGUACCUGGCGCAAGCCAGGGCAAGUGAGGCGCAAGCCUCGCUGACGGCGUGGAAAGGGCUCUCUCUGAGGCCCGAGUACGCUGAAAGUGCCACAGAAACGUAGCUUUUCUGGCGACAGAAAAGAUGGAACGCGGUAAACCCUGCGAGCGAGAAACCCAAAUUUGGUAGGGGAACCGUCCUGAAGGAAUCAAACGGAAGGGACGGAUGGUAUCUUCGGAUGCCAUAGAUAGAUGGCUACCGCUCUUGGUGCGAGGGAUACGUCCCGCUUGCAGCACGGGAGAGACAGAACCUGGCUUAUAGCAUUUCCUGCUGGAU